UUCCGGUUGAUCCCGCCGGAGGUUACUGCUAUCGAGGUUCGACUAAGCCAUGCGAGUCGAAUGUAGCAAUACAUGGCGAACUGCUCAGUAACACGUGGACAACCUGCCCUUAGGACGGGGAUAAACCCGGGAAACUGGGUAUAAUACCCGAUAGGUCUCGAUUGCUGGAAUGCAUCGAGAUUUAAAGCUCCGGCGCCUAAGGAUGGGUCUGCGGCCUAUCAGGUAGUAGUGGGUGUAGCGUACCUACUAGCCUACGACGGGUACGGGUUGUGAGAGCAAGAGCCCGGAGAUGGAUUCUGAGACACGAAUCCAGGCCCUACGGGGUGCAGCAGGCGCGAAAACUUUACAAUGCUGGCAACAGCGAUAAGGGAACCUCGAGUGCCAGGUUACAAAUCUGGCUGUCGAGAUGCCUAAAAAGCAUUUCAUAGCAAGGGCCGGGCAAGACCGGUGCCAGCCGCCGCGGUAACACCGGCGGCUCGAGUGGUAACCGUUAUUAUUGGGUCUAAAGGGUCUGUAGCCGGCCGGAUAAGUCUCUUGAGAAAUCUGGCAGCUUAACUGUCAGGCUUUCAGGAGAUACUGUCUGGCUCGAGGCCGGGAGAGGUGAGAGGUACUUCAGGGGUAGGGGUGAAAUCUUGUAAUCCUUGAAGGACCACCAGUGGCGAAGGCGUCUCACCAGAACGGACCUGACGGCAAGGGACGAAAGCUAGGGGCACGAACCGGAUUAGAUACCCGGGUAGUCCUAGCCGUAAACGAUACUCGCUAGGUGUCGGCCACGGUGCGACCGUUGUCGGUGCCGUAGGGAAGCCGUGAAGCGAGCCACCUGGGAAGUACGGCCGCAAGGCUGAAACUUAAAGGAAUUGGCGGGGGAGCACCACAACGGGUGGAGCUUGCGGUUUAAUUGGAUU
rnacentral:rRNA from 1 species